rnacentral:sRNA from 1 species
GAGUGGGAGGGAGAGAGACGCAGAGAGGCAGCUUGUCUCGCUCUCUGCGUCUC